GUACAUAUAAUUUCUAUGAUUGUAUUCCUAUUACAUGUACAUACCUGUUCAGUCAUGUAUUUAUUUUUUAUGUUUACGGACAUGUAAUGUCCUCAUAUAAAGUUUAAACAUUGUUUAUUAGCAGUCAAAACAAAACCCGAUAACAAAUGUGCCUUUUUAGAUCUGAAAGAGAUUGUAACAGGUUGAAAUACAUUGUCAAACAGCACAAUUGGUUGAUAAAUUAUUGUAGUGAAGUGAGAAAGCUGUCGUGAGAAUUGAGAUUUGAAAUGCGAAUUUCAUUGCUGUGUAAAGAUUUUUAGAUGUUUUUUUAAAGAUGUGAAUUGUACAUGUUUUUUUCCAUGAAAAUCAAUGUUACAUUUUGGAUUUCAAUUUUUUUAUAACAGUGUUGUUUCAAUUUAAGUGAGUGUUUUGGGGUUUUUUUGGUUUUUGAGUAAGCAUAGAAGGUGUCCUUUAUCUGAUUUUUUUUUUUGUGUAAAAAAAUGAUGAGUAAUGAUUAGUAGCCAAUUUCAAAAUAAUUGUGAAAUCCAUUGUUUAGUUGUCAACGCCUUGCUGCCUAAAAUCGAAGUGUUAAUCUGGUGUUCAAAUCAAUGUGAAGGCAAAGAAAUUUUGGUAUUCUAUCGAAUGGAAUUAAAUAGUACAAAUGACUGGAAAACUUAAAAAGAGAAUAAUGUUGUUUUUUUUUCAAAACAUUUUCUAAGAUGCAUGAAUGAGAAAUUACCUACUUGAAAGGUUUAGAGAUGAGAAGUUAAUAUUAAUUAAAAAUUGGAUUCAAAUGAUAAAUACUCAUUUCAUUUUAAACUUUUUAUGUCUAACACAUCAGAACAUUGCAGUAAAUGAGGUUCAUUUAUUUGUAGGCUUUUGCUUACAUGUGUUAUCGCUAACUAAGAUAUUCAGCUCAAAAUGGUAUAGGCCUACUUUGUGCAUGAUGGCUAGAAAGAAUAGUUAAAGUCCAUUACUCACCAAAAAGUUAUUCAUUUUUAGGAUAUAAUUGUUUGAUUCGACUUUUCUUAUCCACUUAUUUGUAUGAUAUAAUGAUAUUUUUUAAAGGUUCAGACAUAACGUUUCAGUUAAUUUUAGUAUUGUUGUAAAACAAUCAUACCUAUAAAAUGUUGUAACGAAAUGUUAAAUCAUACAUUGUUGUAUAUAUGUAUUUAGAAAACAAAUCUAUAAGUAAAGCCACAUUUAAAUUAUUAGAAAUUGAUACUGACAAUUCAAAAAAACUCUAUCCUAAAAUCACUAUAAUAAUUGUACAAUUGUAUAAUGAAAUCGUUGAUUAUAUACAUGUAUGUUAUAGAAGAAUAUAGGACCUUAUUAUUUUAUGCUACACAAUCAUUUCUAUGCCAUUUUUUAGGAUGCUGCUUCAAUGUUAUAUUGAUAGUCAUUUGAGUGAUUUAAUGUAUUCGUUUAUAAAGCAUUUGAAAUGGGUGCAAAUGUUGAUGGUUUUUCAUACAUGUGUAUAUAUAUUAUAUGUUGUUAUUUUGCGCUUUUAUUUCGUGUUUUCAGUACCAAGGUUGUGUAUAUUUUAGAAGGAAUUUUUUUUUCUAUGCGAGAGUGAACGAUGAGAGCAAGAUUCUGUAAAAAUAAGAGAUUAAGGUUAUUAAUACACUGUACUAUGCAGACAAUAUCUACAUUAUGUACAUAUGUUUUGGCCAGUAGACAUAUGAUAUGAACUUUUUUUUUUAAUUAAGUUUUCAAAUUUCAAUGGAAAGUAUAUAGAAUAAACUCUUUGCAAGAAAUUCAAAAUUUUCAAUUCAAAAGUUAAUAUACAAGUCAUUUGAUGUGCAUUUAUACAGAUGAAGGGUUUGGAUCUGAGUCAUUCAUCUUUUAGUAAUUUUAUUGUUUAUGUGCUUCCACUCUUGAUGUAAACUGCAUACAAUUUUAUACGAAAUAAAUAUCUUGUAAUACAAA
rnacentral:sRNA from 1 species